GGUAUACAUCUGAUGAAGUGAGCUGUAGCUCACGAAAGCUCAUGCUCAAAUAAAUUGGUUAGUCUCUAAGGUGCCACAAGUACUCCUUUUCUUUUUGCGAAUACAGACUAACACGGCUGUUCCUCUGAAAGAUAUUUUAGUGCUGUAGAAUGGGACCUUCAUCAUAUGUCACUCAAACUGAAGUCCGUCAUAUCAAAGUUUUUCCCCAGUACACAUUAUAGAUACGUAUGCAAGGGGGCAGUCAUCCUGUUCCCUAUUGUGAUUUGGUGGUUUGUAGAAGACACCAACUGAUAUCCCAUCUUGUGGUUUAUCUGUUAGGACAGAGAUCCAUAAGCAUUCAAGAUCAUUUUCUUCUGACUUAUCCGUGACUCGGAAACAGAAUACUUUCUUUGCUUUUUUAAAAUGCUGCUUCACAUUGAGCAAAAAUCUUCAUUGAAUCUUCAUUCAGUCCCUACGUAAAAGGAUAAAUGGACACAAAUCAGAUAUUAGGAAUGGCAAUAUAUAAAAACCUGUAGAAGAACACUUCAACGUCUCUGGACACGCAAUAGCAGAAGUAAAGGUAGCCAUCCUGCAGCAAAAAAACCCCUUCAGGACCAGAUUUCAACGAGAAACUGCUGAGCUUCAGUUCAUUUGCAAAUUUGACACUAUCAGAUCAGGAUUAAACAAAGACUGUGAAUGGCUCGCCAACUACAAAAGCAGUUUCUCCUCCCUUGGUGUUCACACCUCAACUGCUAGAAGAGGGCCUCAUCCUCCCUGAUAGAACUAACCUCGUUAUCCCUAGCCUGAUUCUUGCUUGCAUAUUUAUACCUGCCUCUGGAAAUUUCCACUACAUGCAUCCGAUGAAGCGGGUAUUCACCCACGAAAGCUUAUGAUCCAAUACGUCUGUUAGUCUAUAAGGUGCCAUAGGACUCUUUGCCGCUUCAUUGAACUGGUCACAAAGAUGACCAGGUCUUUCUCUGAAUUGAUACACUUAAUUAGGAAUCCAGUAAGAUAUGUGAAUAGUUCAAAUUAUUAUUAUACACAAUGUGCAUUACUUUGUAUUUGUGAACAUUUAAUUUCAUCUCACGUUAUUUCCUAUUCACUUUGUUUGGUUCACCUCUUUUCCAGCUCAUUAAUAAAUAUAUAUUAAUAAAUAGAAAACAAUGCUGGUCCUAUUACAGAAUUUUGUGGCACCUCCAUUAAGCUUUUGCUAUCAUGAAAAUUGCCCAUUUUGACCAUUUAUUCCUACCUUAUGUUUUUUGCAGCUACUUUGUUACCCACAACAGUACUUUGCCCAAUGACUUUAGUGUCUUUAGUAGCCUCACGUGAGGAGUUUUGUCAAAGGCCUUCCAAAUAUAUUGUCAACUGCCUUUCCUUCCUUUACCCACUCUUUUACUGUGACCCAUUCAAAAUAUUCUAAUUAGUGUGCCAUGGUUUCCUUUUGCUGGUCACUCUUGGUGUUUUAUAACCAUUUUAAAUUAUUGUUUCAAAUAAUUUACCAAAUACAAAUCAAUAAUCUGUAGUCAUCUAAUUCCCCAGAUUACCCAAGCACUUCUUUUAAAUCUAUCGGUGCACUCUUUGGUACCGUACUAUCCUUUGCUAUAGUAGCAGAUUUUAAUGAGUGCAGACUUUUCUAGCAGCUCAGCCAUUUCAUUUUUACGUUUCUUCAGAACUUCUGGGUGUGUACUGCCAGGGCCUUGCUGUAUGUUGCUUUUUAAUUGAGUUGUUUUGUCACUACUUCUGAUACCUCAGUCUUUGAAUAGUGCUGCAUCAUUGUCACUAGUAUGGAGUACAAAUCAUCAAUCUGUUGGGCUAAUCUGAAUUGAAGGAUAUUACAAGUGUUGUAAUAUCACCCACUACAGUAGAGAAAAGUCAAGAUGACUUUUGUGGCUGCCACAGUUUUUUGCUUGUAAUGUCUGUUAUCUAGAACUUUUUCCAUAAUAAAUUUGAUUUUUAAAGUGA